AGGCGGGCGCUGACUCUGGAGCGCGGCGGGGCGGGCGCGGGUCCCGCCGCUCCUUGAGGGGGAGGCGGCCGUGCCCCGCCGGUCCCCGGCUCCCGCUGCCUUCUCAGGGCUCCCCCUCACGCCGCGGCCCCGCCGCUCCCGCCUUUCCCCUCACGCCGCGGGUCCGGCCGCUCCCGCCUUCCCCCUCACGGAGCGCGGCGCCGGCGGUUCCGAUCCGUGAGGGGGGAGCGGGGCGCCCUCGAUGGAAGCGCCUAAAACGCAACGCGCAGACCGCAGAACUCCCCCCACGUCAGCCCUCUAAUCCAAACGGCACCUUUGGUUUAAACAGAAAUUAAUCUCCAGCCCAAAUAGGCCGGGAUUUGGCUCACCUGCGGCGCCCGUCGCCUGGACCCGGAGGAGGUGCCGGCUGUCUGGAAAACAAGGGAUGAGAAAACCGAGGGAUUUUCUGCAGGCUUGAUGUAACCCGCAGCAGGCUGUUGCAUCAAAGACUAGAAAAAGAACCCGGGACAAAAAUAAUCUUUUAAGAGCGAGCAGCUAAGAUUAGUGCAGCGCGUCAAGAUGUUGCUGAGCGCUACAGAACGAGUCCUCCUGCCUGUACCAGCACAGGAAUAUUGCUUUUCUGGCAUCUGCAACCCUGAGAUUAUCUGCACUUAAUUACACAUUGUGUCGAGGUCAACAAACUGCGGUCAAGGACGGGGAUCUCGCUGUGCAGGGCCUGACACAAACACCAAAGGAGUUUCUGCCCAAAUGCUGCCAUCCCUGCCAACACGCCGAUUGGCUUCCUCAGGAUUUCAGAGUGUGCAUCUGAGGAUUCAGACUGUGCAUCAUAAAGUUUCCCUCAGCAACUGCUAAAACUACUCACAAGGCACUGCAGGAUGGAGCAGCUCUCAAAGAUGGAAUGGACUUCCAGUACUUUCGAAGUUAUGCGUCUAGUCAGGAAACACAUUGAGCAGAAUGGAAAAAAAAAAGAGAAGAAGAAAUGGCACUUUCAUGUUUCUGUUUGCAAGCUGGAUUCAUCACUCCUCAGCUAUUACCUACAGAGUCCCAGAUGGAUGCUGGUUUGCUGGAAAAUAAAUGAAGCACAAGGAUGACUUCAAACAUUUGCAGGAGCCAUGCUGACACUCAAAAUAUAGAAACAUCAAGUAACUUUCCUGGUGAGAUCAUAAAAGCAGAGCCACAGUGAUCAAAGAAGAAAAUGCAAGACUCUUACUCCAUUCCUAAUACAAGAUACAUUCUCCUUCUGGGACCAGGAGCCUCCAUGGCACAGAGAUGCUCCCACAGUCUACAAAUACAGUACAUAAGCUACGGGACCAGAUGGCUCCCACACACGAUGCUCUGAAUCGUGGCAGGGCUGGAGGUGUUUGUUCUGUGGCUCAGCAAACGCAACGCUGCACCAGGUGAAACCCCCUCUCAGCCACACAUGGUGCACGCUGCGUGGAGCUGCAGCAGGUGCCCGUGGAGCCACGCUGAGGAAGAUCCUUUCCUUCUUGCAGGUUGUCAGGAAAAUGUCUGUCAUACCUUCAGCACAAAUGGCAAGGAGUAGAGGCAGCGCAGUGACACAUGGCACAGGACAGAUGCUCGGGAUGCACAGUGCCUGAUGGCAAGGAAUCCUGGCGGGCCAAGGACAGGAGGCUCUUGUUCCCCCUCUGAUUUCCCCGUGCAGCUUGUGAUUAAACCGGUGCUGACACCUUGCCCAGUGCCUGUUUGCACAGCCAAUAGCCCUGGGCAGGACUGCUGGCCGUGAAGCACCUACUGGAAAAGGAGAGAAUCUCACUGUUUGAGAGCAUCUUUGCCCCUGGCAUUUGCUAAACAGGAAACAAAACUGAUUUUCUCCUCCCUUGCCUCACGUAGAUGUGGGGGAGAUUCAAGCUGGGGCAGCCCUGUGAAAUGAGAGUGAACGGGGGGGCGUUUGCCAAUGGAACAACCACUGCUCAGGAGGGCAAGGCUGGAGGGACUGCACAGCAUGUGAUUUGUGCUUCAGUGACAAGACCAUAAACACCACCCUGCAGUUGUCCCUCUCUGAUCCAUCGCGCUUCUGAGCACUGAAAAACGCUGGAAGAAUGAAAGCUGUUUUUCCAAUGUGUGGGAGAUGGCUGUUCAGAGAAUUCCAGCCUGCCGUGCUGGGGGCUCAGUGCAAGCACCAAACCCCAGGGUGGCUGAGGGAUGUCCCGGAUGGCACGAUGGAUACGGUGUGUGUGUGCUCCAGGCCAGGCAACGAGGGUACAGCGAAGCACCUGGCCACUCUCCAAUGGCCACACUCCACCUCAAGUAUUUUCUGAGAUGGGAAAAUUCCCCUUUGGCUGUUUCUCAGCUUGCUUUCCUUGGUAUGCAUUUGACAUGCCCUCGUCGUUGGGAGUGACAGGACACCUCGUGAGCGGGCGCCGUGCUGGCCCUUGGCAAGCAGUGGGACACCCAUCAGGGAGUGGAGCAAUGACCAGGAAUGUCACAACUGCAGCCUGUGCAGAGCAGCUCUGAUGAAGGUUAAACAUGUGCUGCCACCACCUCUGAGGUCAGCGUUGGGCUCGCCUUAGCAGUUCUAUAAAUAGAUGGCCAAGGUUGACUGAAAAGAGGAUUUGGCUCGGCUGGAUCUUGUUUAGCAUUCCCAAGAGAGGAAGGCAGAUUCUUUUCCCUUUUCUCUUCCAGCCUCUAACCUUGAGUUGGUCUCUGUGGGAAGCAUUAGUGGCAUUUGCCAGCAGAGCGGCCGCCGUGAGCCGGAUGUCCUGCUGUGUCCCACAAACCACACGUACACGUCCCUUCAACCUGCUAACCCAGACCUAAUUCCACUAAAGCCUCAAACUAAUUCCUCACCGGCAAAACUAAGGAAAGAACCCAAACAAACCUGGAGCCUAAUUGCUCGAAAACAGUAGGACACCUAGUGGAUUUAUGGAGAAUAUCUUUGGGAUUAUCAGAAACAUUUUGUCAUUUUCUUGGCAAAACCAACUGUGAAUAUAUUUAUGGAGGAAUCAUUGAAAUAUCAGAGUUUCUAUUUAAUAAAUUAGUCUUGUUAUAGCU